AUUAAUUCUCAGGGCGGGGUGGAAUUCCCCACCGGCGGUGUACUUUUUUAAGUGAGCCCGCGAGCGCUCGAUAUUUUUGAGGUCAGCAGAUCUGGUUAGAAGCCAGAGCCGACGGUUAUAGUCCGGAUGAGAGAGAAUUUAA
rnacentral:ncRNA from 2 species